CACUUUGGGAGGCUGAGGCGGGUGGAUCACUUGAGGUCAGGAGAUUGAGACCAUCCUGGCCAACAUGGUGGAACCCCGUCUCUACUAAAACUACAAAAAUUAGCCAAGAUCACGCCAUUGCACUCCAGCCUGGAGACAGUGAGACGCUGUCUCAAAAAAAAAAAAAAAAAAAGAUAAAAAGAGUUUUGAGCAAGCUCAAAGACCCGUGUGCCAGCAGUCAGAUGCCCACGUUGGGUGCACAGGCUAAGGCAGCCGGCCCAAUCUGGAAACCAGUCAGGCUUUUGCCAGCCCCUAAUCUAGCUGAUUGGAACAUGUUUGUUGAUACACCAGCUCUGUGAUUUCUCAGGUUUAGAGAACUCUAGAAUUUGAUAGAGUGGGCCGGGGGCAGUGGCUCAUGCCUGUAAUCUCAGCACUUUGGGAGGCUGAGGUAAGCAGAUCACGUGAGGUCAGGAGGUUGAGACCAGCCUGGCCAACAUGGUGAAACCCCGUCUCUACUAAAAAUACAAAAAUUAGCCAGGCAUGGUGGUGCGCGCCUGUAGUCCCACCUACUUGGGAGGCUGAGGAAGGAGAAUUGCUUGAACCUAGGAAGUGGAGGUUGCAGUGAGCCAAGAUCACGCCACUGCACUCCAGCCUGGAGUGGACAGAGACUCCAUCUCAAAAGAAAAAAAAAUUAAUUAAAUUUGAUAGAAUGAUGAUGGGGAUAGAGUGUAAAUUUGCCAAAUUUACCCACGCAACAGACAUGAUUUUACCUAAUACAUGUGAAUUAUGAAGAAUAAACUGAUGAAAAUAGUUUGGGAAUAUAAAACUUAAGAAUACUUGCGCCGGGCACGGUGGCUCACACCUGUAAUCCCAGCACUUUGGGAGGCCGAGGCAGGUGGAUCACGAGGUCAGGAGUUCAAGACUAGCCUGGCCAAGAUGGUGAAACCCCAUCUCUAUUAAAAAUACAAAAAUUAGCCGGGCGUGGUUGUGGGCGCCUGUAAUCCCAGCUACUCAGGAGGCUGAGGCAGAGAAUCGCAUGAGCCCAGGAAGCGGAGGUUGCAGUGAGCCGAGAUUGCGCCACCGCACUCCAGCCUGGGCGACAGAGUGAGACUCCGUCUCAAAAAAAAGAAAAAAAAAAGAAUGCUUUCAUCAGCAAAACAUUGUAACAUUCCCUUUACUUGAGGGCGUCCACAAUACCGUAAGGUUGCGUGAACUGUCCUACUGAAUCUUCAUGGUUGCUUGGAUUUUAAUCACAUCAGAAGAAUUUGAGAGCAUACCAUGGCUGGCAGUCCAUAAAAGACUAGUUAGGAACAUCAGCUUUUAAUCAUCGACCCUGCUUUCAGGUUUCAUUUUAAACUUAUAGAAGAGGGGAAGACAUCAGUGUGCUUAUUUGGCCUUUACUCUAAAUCUUAAAAGGAAGAAAAUUUUAAUAUUUCUUAGUUUGAGCCCAGGCGUGAGCCACCGCGCCCGGCCU
rnacentral:lncRNA from 1 species